CCAGGACACUGUAACCAUCAUAAAUACAUGCCAGUUGCCAAGUAUUCAAAUUUUGUUCAGAUGACCGCAAGGAUAUUGCAAUGGUUGUUUCUGGGCUCAACAUCCUACCUAGCUUAGAUUUUGGAUCAGCUAUUUAUUUACGGCUGAGCUGAAACUGGUCAAGUUCUUCAGCUUCUUUACAGAUCAACUUAGACUGAUUCCUAAUGCCUUUAUUAUAUCAGCCAGGUGACUCUGAGAGCACAGAUAAACCUCCAUGUGGCCUGAACAACAUUCAGAGAGACUGCUAACCACCAGAUGGCUGCAAGAAAUAUAAAUCCUUCCAUUCUCCACCAUUCAAUUCUAACUGAAGAAGUUUCUUGGAUGAGAAGCAAAACGUCUUCAACAAAAACAAAGAAAACCGCCUUUGGCACAACUGUUACUUGAAUGAUUGAGAAUCUCCAUAGACGUAUGAUUUUAAAACCCUUUUUGCUGCAGU